rnacentral:tRNA from 2 species
AUUAAAGUGGCAGAAAAAUGCCAGGAAUUUAAGCUUCCUUAAUGAAAAAUUUCCUUUAAUA